rnacentral:rRNA from 1 species
UACGAAGGGGGCUAGCGUUGUUCGGAAUUACUGGGCGUAAAGCGCGUGUAGGCGGAUAUUUAAGUCAGGGGUGAAAUCCCGCAGCUCAACUGCGGAACUGCCUUUGAUACUGGGUAUCUUGAGUAUGGAAGAGGUGAGUGGAAUUCCGAGUGUAGAGGUGAAAUUCGUAGAUAUUCGGAGGAACACCAGUGGCGAAGGCGGCUCACUGGUCCAUUACUGACGCUGAGGUGCGAAAGCGUGGGGAGCAAACAGG